rnacentral:rRNA from 1 species
AACGAACGCUGGCGGCAUGCCUAACACAUGCAAGUCGAACGAGAUCUUCGGGUCUAGUGGCGCACGGGUGCGUAACGCGUGGGAAUCUGCCCUUCGGUUCGGAAUAACAGUUGGAAACGACUGCUAAUACCGGAUGAUGACGAAAGUCCAAAGAUUUAUCGCCAGAGGAUGAGCCCGCGUAGGAUUAGCUAGUUGGUGUGGUAAAGGCGCACCAAGGCGACGAUCCUUAGCUGGUCUGAGAGGAUGAUCAGCCACACUGGGACUGAGACACAGCCCAGACUCCUACGGGAGGCAGCAGUGGGGAAGAUUGGACAAUGGGCGAAAGCCUGAUCCAGCAAUGCCGCGUGAGUAAUGAAGGCCUUAGGGUUGUAAAGCUCUUUUACCCGGGAUGAUAAUGACAGUACCGGGAGAAUAAGCUCCGGCUAACUCCGUGCCAGCCGCCGCAGUAA